AUUGAACGCUAGCGGCAUGCUUUACACAUGCAAGUCGAACGGCAGCACGGGUGCUUGCACCUGGUGGCGAGUGGCGGACGGGUGAGUAAUACAUCGGAACGUGUCCUGAAGUGGGGGAUAACGCAUCGAAAGAUGUGCUAAUACCGCAUAUUCUCUGAGGAGGAAAGUAGGGGAUCGAAAGACCUUAUGCUUUUGGAGCGGCCGAUGUCUGAUUAGCUAGUUGGUAAGGUAAUGGCUUACCAAGGCGACGAUCAGUAGUUGGUCUGAGAGGACGACCAGCCACACUGGGACUGAGACACGGCCCAGACUCCUACGGGAGGCAGCAGUGGGGAAUUUUGGACAAUGGGCGCAAGCCUGAUCCAGCAAUGCCGCGUGAGUGAAGAAGGCCUUCGGGUUGUUAAAGGCUCUUUCAGUCGAGAAGAAAAGGACUGUGACUAAUAAUCAUAGCUCAUGACGGUAUCGACAGAAGAAGU
rnacentral:rRNA from 1 species